rnacentral:pre_miRNA from 1 species
UCUUACAGAUGAGCAAAGAAAGUGGUUUCUUGAGAUGGAAUAUACUCCAGGUGAAGAUACUGUGAA